CUGCUCCCACAGCACGUAUGCUAAAAGUCGGAUGACACAGACAAGGUUAGCGUGGUCCUUGCUUAAGGAAGACAUACAAAUUUGUGAAGUGUUCCAUAUUGCA
ensembl:snRNA U6 U6 spliceosomal RNA